UUGUUAUCUACCAUUGCUCUUAGGCCAUAUUUCUGACCUUCGAAUAAGUGUAUAUAUAAGACGGGAUAUUUCACAACAAGCACCAAGGCCUCACUUGAACUCAACUCAACUGACAUUGCUCCAAGCUGCCCACAGCAGGCUACCUCUCACCUCUUCCUCCAGGCAUGGCGAUAAAAGGAUUGUUGGUGUGCGCACUAUUGGCAGCGAUAAUAGUAGGCGCCGUAUCAUCGCCGCUGUCCAAAACGGAUAUUGACAUCAAACGGGCUGAGGGUCUUCGGCAGUUACUGGUGGAGAAAGAGUCAGCAAGGGAGUCCAGAGGAACUGUGGCUGGACCUGGUCAAGUCACUCAAACUCGCACAACAAGGAUGGACAGACUAGCGCAUCUCUCCUUGGACGACCGCGAGUUUAUGUCGAGGCAAAUAAUGCAGGCAAUCUCAGAGAUGAUGAACUCUGAGUGCAUGUCGGGCCGAGACUACCAGGGCUGGGUAGAUUUCGGACGUCGAAGCGCAGAGCAGAGUCGCUGAAAUUGGAGGAACCAAUGUCUUAUUUGGAUAUACAGUAUCUGCACAUUUUGAUUACUUGCAACUGUAGCUUAACUGAAACUACCUUGUGUCUUUUCUCAAUUACAUAAUAAACAUGCAUAGCUUCUAACAACUGCAAACCCAUUUAUUUUUUUAGCUUUAAGGUUGUCGACUUUCAGCAGAAAAGUCAGUUUGGUCUGUGUACACUUUGAGCUAUUAGAAAGUUCAGAUUUAAGCAAGUCAAAGUCUGACCAGUCUGAUAUUGGCACUAAAUGGUUAAG